AACCAUAUAGCUGUGAUGAAUGUGGGAAGAGUUUUACUCAAUCAACCAGCCUGAAAUUCCACCAGAGAACACGCACAGGAGAGAAACCUUUUAGCUGUGAUCAAUGUGGGAAGAGUUUUGUUCAAUCUGGCCAUCUGAAGAGACACCAGAAAACACACACAGGAGAGAAAUCUCAUGGCUGUGACCAGAGAUAAUCUGAUAAAAGAUCUCUGAUCAAAUAUCAGAAAAUACAUGGAGUUGUUUCAUGAUAUCAAUGAAUUAAUGUCACAAUGUAGAAUGUUUAAACAUUGUAGUAGGAGUAUUUUAAUGAUGUCACAAUGUAGAACCCUAAACGUUUGUCCCCUGUUCUAUUGAUUUCAGCAUGAUAUGGAUAUUAGCCUCAGGGGGGAAAUCCAGGCUCUGAAAUGGAAGAGUUACUAUUUAUGUGAUUUAACAAAAAGUGACUAACAAAAAAAGAGUUGUGUUACACUUACCACGUUGGUGACCCACUUGAAUCAAAAUGCAACACUUCAAAAUGUGUUGCAUUUACAAAUUGUCCUCUAACCAGGGAUGUACACAUUAUUCCCAGAUUCCGUGUGGUUUUUGAGCAGUUAGUUUUAACAGGAUGUGCAACCUCAUCUCCCUCCUCUCUGCACAAAUGAUUUCAACAUGAUAUCGAUGAGUUAUGACAAAUAAGUGUUGUGUUCUUUUGUUUAGUGACCCCUAAAUUUAAAUGCAUCACUCCAAAAUGUAGCUGACUGUCUUCUGCAGGUUGUCCUCUAACCAGUGAGGUAAAAUAUAUCUCCCAUUUCCAUGUGUUUUUUAGUUGUGUUAGUUUCAACAGCACGUACAACCUGAUUUCCCCCCUAAUCGAUAUCAGUGAUUUAUUGCUACUUGUGCAGUUUAUAAGGAGCUUGUUUAAAAAAAUACAAGUAAUAUGAUUAUUGUGGCAGAUGUUUGUGUGUAAAUACCACAUGUUAUGUUUAGGUUUUCAAUUUAUCCCAAACUGUUUCUGCAUAUUAGUUAUUGAUUUGGACAUGUUAAAACUAUGACAUUGGGGAUAUCCCACCUAGCAAAAUGUCAUUGAAAAGACGAGAGUUCUAGAGUUUUCCCCCCAAAAUGUUAUUAUUAUUUAGAAAUGUUUUUUCUUGUUUUUAAUUGUUGACAGCCAGUAGACACCAUGUUUAUAUUGGUGAAGGUGAAGCAUUGUAGUUGAUUAUAAUGUGAAAUAGAAGUUGUUUUCUGUUGGUGGUGAGCAAACUUGUUCAACAAAAAUAUAGGAUAUAUUUGUUGUCUUAAGGGGGAAGGUGUUACAGGCUUUGGUUUUUCCAUUUAUGUUUUGAGGUUAUAUCUCGUUAGCCCGUCUAGCCCGUUAGGACGUCUAGCUCGUUAGCACGUAGGACGCACUGAUUGGUGUCACCUCGUUAGUCAGUAUGUGUUACACCUGUGCUGGCUUGUCCAUCUCGUUAGUGGGAAGGUGUUUCACCUGAGCUGGUCCAGGUUCUAUUUAAGAGUGUCUGGCCCAGUGCUCCAGUUGUCUUGAUACAUGUGGAGAGUCAACACCUUUAGUUGCUCCACCUUUUUGGUUUACUUCCUGUCUUUAAGUUUGGUGUGGGAUUUUCUUUUGUUUUCCUCUUCUUGGGCAGAUUUAGUGGGUCUCAUGGUGGGUGUCUUUUAGGUCCCAGUCAUGUACAUUUACAUUUAAGUCAUUUAGCAGACGCUCUUAUCCAGAGCGACUUACAAAUUGGUGCAUUCACCUUAUGAUAUCCAGUGGAACAACCACUUUACAAUAGUGCAUCUAAAUCUUUUAAGGAGGGGGGUUAGAAGGAUUACUUUAUCCUAUCCUAGGUAUUCCUUAAAGAGGUGGGGUUUCAGGUGUCUCCGGAAGGUGGUGAUUGACUCCGCUGUCCUGGCGUCGUGAGGGAGCUUGUUCCACCAUUGGGGUGCCAGAGCAGCGAACAGUUUUGACUGGGCUGAGCGGGAAUCGUGCUUCCUCAGAGGUAGGGGGGCCAGCAGGCCAGAGGUGGAUGAACGCAGUGCCCUUGUUUGGGUGUAGGGCCUGAUCAGAGCCUGAAGGUAUGGAGGUGCCGUUCCCUUCACAGCUCCGUAGGCAAUCACCAUGGUUUUGUAGCGGAUGCGAGCUUCAACUGGAAGCCAGUGGAGAGAGCGGAGGAGCGGGGUGACGUGAGAGAACUUGGGAAGGUUGAACACCAGACGGGCUGCGGCGUUCUGGAUGAGUUGUAGGGGUUUAAUGGCACAGGCAGGGAGCCCAGCCAACAGCGAGUUGCAGUAAUCCAGACGGGAGAUGACAAGUGCCUGGAUUAGGACCUGC
rnacentral:lncRNA from 1 species